CAAGCGUUGUUCGGAAUUACUGGGCGUAAAGGGCGCGUAGGUGGCCUUCUAAGUCGAACGUGAAAUCCCCGGGCUCAACCCGGGAACUGCGUCCGAUACUGGAAGGCUUGAAUUCGGGAGAGGGAUGCGGAAUUCCAGGUGUAGCGGUGAAAUGCGUAGAUAUCUGGAGGAACACCGCUGGCGAAGGCGGCAUCCUGGACCGGCAUUGACGCUGAGGCGCGAAAGCCAGGGGAGCAAACGGG
rnacentral:rRNA from 1 species